rnacentral:lncRNA from 1 species
AGGAAUUUAAACAACAUCCAUAAACUAAAUAUUGAAUACAUGGUUUAGAAAUUAAAAACACUCAAAUCUCAUGCUUCAAAUAUUUUCUUUGGCCCUUCUUUCAUAUUUCAGCGUAUAAGUACCAAUAUCAAGUUGUAUACCUGAAAAUCAGUUUACAAAUGAAGAAGAAGAAAGAUCAGCAGCAGCAGUACAUCAACAAUACAACAGCAACAUCAAUAGGAUUCAGAACAGCUCAACAAACAGUUUUAAAACCAAGAUAACAUUCGACCACAGCCCAGAAACAUUUUAUAAACCAACAACAACAUCAAAUAACCCACAAUAGACUUUACUGAUCCUGAGUUAAACCAGAAAUGGACGAGCGUACAACUGAACCACUAUCAGCAGACCAAACCUCAACCACAACUGACUUAAUUAGACCCCAAACUUAUUUGAAAGACAUAAAGUGUACUUCAGAUGAACUUCAGCACUCAGAACAGAAGAAAACUUGAUCAAAUUUGAACCAGAGUAAUGAUGUAGCAGUACUUUUGGUAUUUUACAAUGGAACAAUGUUAAUUGAACUGAUUGACGGCCUAAAAUUCUCUCUAAGUGUUUGUAUUUUUUCCAAAGCUCUCUUCAACUAUCUGUAUCUUUUUAAUUAGAACUGAAUGCCCUCAAAGCUCUCCAAAAAAUAUUCCUCCCUCAAUGUCUAUCUCCGUACUGCUUUUAUGGCAG